CUACGGGGUGCUGCAGUGGGGAAUAUUGCACAAUGGGCGCAAGCCUGAUGCAGCAACGCCGCGUGAGGGAUGAAGGCCUUCGGGUUGUAAACCUCUUUUAGCAGGGAAGAAGCGAAAGUGACGGUACCUGCAGAAAAAGCACCGGCUAACUACGUGCCAGCAGCCGGCGGUAAUACGUAGGGUGCAAGCGUUGUCCGGAAUUAUUGGGCGUAAAGAGCUCGUAGGCGGUUUGUCACGUCUGCUGUGAAAAUCCAAGGCUCAACCUUGGACUUGCAGGGGGUACGGGCAGGCUAGAGUGCGGUAGGGGAGAUGGGAAUUCCUGGUGUAGCGGUGGAAUGCGCAGAUAUCAGGAGGAACACCAAUGGCGAAGGCACAUCUCUGGGCCGUAACUGACGCUGAGGAGCGAAAGCGUGGGGAGCGAACAGGAUUAGAUACCCGAGUAGUC
rnacentral:rRNA from 1 species